rnacentral:rRNA from 1 species
GACGAACGCUGGCGGCGUGCUUAACACAUGCAAGUCGAACGGAAAGGCCCUGCUUUUGUGGGGUGCUCGAGUGGCGAACGGGUGAGUAACACGUGAGUAACCUGCCCUUGACUUUGGGAUAAUUUCAGGAAACUGGGGCUAAUACCGGAUAGGAGCUCCUGCUGAAUGGGGGGGGUUGGAAAGUUUCGGCGGUUGGGGAUGGACUCGCGGCUUAUCAGCUUGUUGGUGGGGUAGUGGCUUACCAAGGCUUUGACGGGUAGCCGGCCUGAGAGGGUGACCGGCCACAUUGGGACUGAGAUACGGCCCAGACUCCUACGGGAGGCAGCAGUGGGGAAUAUUGCACAAUGGGCGGAAGCCUGAUGCAGCAACGCCGCGUGCGGGAUGACGGCCUUCGGGUUGUAAACCGCUUUCGCCUGUGACGAAGCGUGAGUGACGGUAAUGGGUAAAGAAGCACCGGCUAACUACGUG